UACACGACCGUACCGCAAACCGACACUGGUGCGCGAGAUGAGUAUUCUAAGGCGCUUGAGAGAACUCAGGAGAAGGAACUCGGCAAAUUGACACCGUAACUUCGGAAGAAGGUGUGCCUUUAGUAGGUGAACCUGUACAAGGGGAGCCCAAUGAGGUUGCAAAAAAUCGGUGGCUGCGACUGUUUAAUAAAAACACAGCACUCUGCAAACACGAAAGUGGACGUAUAGGGUGUGACGCCUGCCCGGUGCUGGAAGAUUAAAUGAUGGGGUGCAAGCUCUUGAUUGAAGUCCCAGUAAACGGCGGCCGUAACUAUAACGGUCCUAAGGUAGCGAAAUUCCUUGUCGGGUAAGUUCCGACCUGCACGAAUGGCGUAACGAUGGCCACACUGUCUCCUCCUGAGACUCAGCGAAGUUGAAAUGUUUGUGAUGAUGCAAUCUCCCCGCGGAAAGACGGAAAGACCCCAUGAACCUUUACUGUAGCUUUGUAUUGGACUUUGAACAGAUCUGUGUAGGAUAGGUGGGAGGCUUUGAAGUGUGGUCGCUAGAUCGCAUGGAGCCAACGUUGAAAUACCACCCUGGUGUGUUUGAGGUUCUAACCUAGGCCCGUAAUCCGGGUCGGGGACAGUGCAUGGUAGGCAGUUUGACUGGGGCGGUCUCCUCCCAAAGCGUAACGGAGGAGUUCGAAGGUACGCUAGGUACGGUCGGACAUCGUGCUAAUAGUGCAAUGGCAUAAGCGUGCUUAACUGCGAGACUGACAAGUCGAGCAGAUGCGAAAGCAGGACAUAGUGAUCCGGUGGUUCUGUAUGGAAGGGCCAUCGCUCAACGGAUAAAAGGUACUCUGGGGAUAACAGGCUGAUACCGCCCAAGAGUUCAUAUCGACGGCGGUGUUUGGCACCUCGAUGUCGGCUCAUCUCAUCCUGGGGCUGUAGCCGGUCCCAAGGGUAUGGCUGUUCGCCAUUUAAAGAGGUACGUGAGCUGGGUUUAAAACGUCGUGAGACAGUUUGGUCCCUAUCUUCCGUGGGCGCUGCAGAUUUGAGGAAGCCUGCUCCUAGUACGAGAGGACCGGAGUGGACACACCUCUGGUGUAUCGGUUGUCACGCCAGUGGCAUUGCCGAGUAGCUAUGUGUGGAAGAGAUAACCGCUGAAAGCAUCUAAGCGGGAAACUCGUUUCAAGAUGAGAUCUGCCGGGGCCUUGAGCCCCCUAAAGAGUCGUUCAAGACCAGGACGUUGAUAGGUCGGGUGUGGAAGCGCAGUAAUGCGUUAAGCUAACCGAUACUAAUUGCUCGUGCGGCUUGACC
rnacentral:rRNA from 1 species